rnacentral:rRNA from 1 species
CAAUGGGGGAAACCCUGNAUGCAGCGACGCCGCGUGGAGGAAGAAGGUCUUCGGCAUUGUAAACUCCUGUUGUUGAGGAAGAUAAUGACGGUACUCAACAAGGNAAGUGACGGCUAACUACGUGCCAGCAGCCGCGGUAAUACGUAGGGGGCAAGCGUUAUCCGGAUUUACUGGGUGUAAAGGGAGCGUAGACGGUGUGNCAAGUCUGAUGUGAAAGGCAUGGGCUCAACCUGUGGACUGCAUUGGAAACUGUCAUACUUGAGUGCCNGAAGGGUAAGCGGAAUUCCUAGUGUAGCGGUGAAAUGCGUAGAUAUUAGGAGGAACACCAGUGGCGAAGGCGGCUUACUGGACNGUAACUGACGUUGAGGCUCGAAAGCGUGGGGAGCAAACAGGAUUAGAUACCCUGGUAGUCCAAGGGCGAAUUC